AACCGGGCGGGGAGCCCGGCCAGUGGGAGGCCCGGCCGCCCCACUGUGAUUAGACUCGGCCGCUUUCACACCCCCGCCCCAGCAAACACCCGUACAGCCGCGCUUCUUUCGCCUUCCGCCCCGUUACAACCUGGGUAAAACCAAAUACUUCACAUCAUUCUCAUUAUCCAGUACUCCAAGCAGAAUUUAGUCAGAUCCUAUUGUGUGUGCAGGCACACACUCACCAACCUCAAAUUAAAGAUCUGAAACAUGG